rnacentral:rRNA from 1 species
CUGAGGAGCGAAAGCGUGGGGAGCGAACAGGAUUAGAUACCCUGGUAGUCCACGCCGUAAACGGUGGAUGCUGGAUGUGGGGCCCGUUCCACGGGUUCCGUGUCGGAGCUAACGCGUUAAGCAUCCCGCCUGGGGAGUACGGCCGCAAGGCUAAAACUCAAAGAAAUUGACGGGGGCCCGCACAAGCGGCGGAGCAUGCGGAUUAAUUCGAUGCAACGCGAAGAACCUUACCUGGGCUUGACAUGUUCCCGACGGUCGUAGAGAUACGGCUUCCCUUCGGGGCGGGUUCACAGGUGGUGCAUGGUCGUCGUCAGCUCGUGUCGUGAGAUGUUGGGUUAAGUCCCGCAACGAGCGCAACCCUCGCCCCGUGUUGCCAGCGGAUUAUGCCGGGAACUCACGGGGGACCGCCGGGGUUAACUCGGAGGAAGGUGGGGAUGACGUCAGAUCAUCAUGCCCCUUACGUCCAGGGCUUCACGCAUGCUACAAUGGCCGGUACAACGGGAUGCGACGCGGCGACGCGGAGCGGAUCCCUGAAAACCGGUCUCAGUUCGGAUCGGAGUCUGCAACCCGGCUCCGUGAAGGCGGAGUCGCUAGUAAUCGCGGAUCAGCAACGCCGCGGUGAAUGCGUUCCCGGGCCUUGUACACACCGCCCGUCAAGUCAUGAAAGUGGGCAGCACCCGAAGCCGGUGGCCUAACCCCUUGUGGGAUGGAGCCGUCUAAGGUGAGGCUCGUGAUUGGGACUAAGUCGUAACAAGGUAGCCGUACCGGAAGGUGCGGCUG